rnacentral:rRNA from 1 species
UACGAAGGGGGCUAGCGUUGCUCGGAAUCACUGGGCGUAAAGCGCACGUAGGCGGAUUGCUAAGUCAGGGGUGAAAUCCUGGAGCUCAACUCCAGAACUGCCUUUGAUACUGGCGAUCUCGAGUCCGGGAGAGGUGAGUGGAACUGCGAGUGUAGAGGUGAAAUUCGUAGAUAUUCGCAAGAACACCAGUGGCGAAGGCGGCUCACUGGCCCGGUACUGACGCUGAGGUGCGAAAAGCGUGGGGAGCAAACAGG